rnacentral:rRNA from 1 species
GGAAUUUUGGACAAUGGGCGCAAGCCUGAUCCAGCCAUGCCGCGUGAGUGAAGAAGGCCUUCGGGUUGUAAAGCUCUUUCGGCGGGGACGAAACGGUCCGUGCUAACACCACGGACUCAUGACGGUACUCGCCGCAGAAGCCCCGGCUAACUACGUGCACGCAGCCGCGGCAAUACGUAGGGUGCAGGCGUUAAUAGGAAUUACUGGGCGUAAAGCGUGCGCAGGCGGCUCCUUAAGUCAGAUGUGAAAGCCCCGGGCUUAACCUGGGAACUGCGUUUGAAACUGGGGGGCUAGAGUGUGGAAGAGGGGGGUGGAAUUCCAGGUGUAGCAGUGAAAUGCGUAGAGAUCUGGAGGAACACCGAUGGCGAAGGCAGCCCCCUGGGCUAACACUGACGCUCAUGCACGAAAGCGUGGGGAGCAAA